rnacentral:rRNA from 1 species
GACGAACGCUGGCGGCGUGCUUAACACAUGCAAGUCGAACGGAAAGGCCCUGCUUUUGUGGGGUGCUCGAGUGGCGAACGGGUGAGUAACACGUGAGUAACCUGCCCUUGACUUUGGGAUAACUUCAGGAAACUGGGGCUAAUACCGGAUAGGAGCUCCUGCUGCAUGGUGGGGGUUGGAAAGUUUCGGCGGGUGGGGAUGGACUCGCGGCUUAUCAGCUUGUUGGUGGGGUAGUGGCUUACCAAGGCUUUGACGGGUAGCCGGCCUGGGAGGGAGACCGGCUACAGUCGCCUAGAGGAGCGGCCCGUGCGGAUUCGGGGGGCAGGGGUGGAAACUUGUGCCCACUGGGCCGCGUCCGGGUGGAGGACCGCCGCGUGCGAGAUGACUGCCUUCGGGUUGGAAAACGCUUUCGCCUGUGACGAGGCGUGAGGACGGGAACUGGGUAAAGAGCCACCGCUUACUUCGUG